rnacentral:rRNA from 1 species
GAUGAACGCUGGCGGCGUGCUUAACACAUGCAAGUCGAACGGAAAGGCCCUGCUUUUGUGGGGUGCUCGAGUGGGGAACGGGUGAGUAACACGUGAGUAACAUGCCCUUGUAUUUGGGAUAACUUCAGGGAAAUGGGGCUAAUAUCGGAUAGGAGCUCCUGCUGCAUGGUGGGGGUUGGAAAGUUUCGGCGGUUGGGGAUGGACUCGCGGCUUAUCAGCUUGUUGGUGGGGUAGGGGAUUACAAAGGCUUUGACGGGUAGCCGGCCUGAGAGGGUGGCCGGCCACAUGGGGACUGAGAUACGGCCCAGACGCCUACGGGCGGCAGCAGUGGGGAGUAUUGCACAAUGGGCGGAAGCCUGUUGCAGCGACGCCGCGUGCGGGAUGACGUCCUUCGGGUUGUGAACCGCUUUCGCCUGUGACGAAGCGUGAGUGACGGUAAUGAAUAAAGAAGCACCGGCUAACUACGUG